AUCAAACCUAUAAUGCAAAACGAAGUAGAAACAUCAGUUAGACAUCCAUUUGACAGUUUUUGUUAGCUUAGAAGUUUGGCAAUAUGCUUUCCACAGUUCCUGGAUACAAUCCAGCUUCUACUUUUUUUUUUUUUUGACAAUAAAGUCAUGAAAGAAAAGGGGAGUUGACUGCCUCGUCUCCAUCAAUCGCCACAGUUCAUGAAAGAAUUCCAGCGAGAGCCAUGAACGGCAGGGUCUGGACAGGAGGCUUUUAUUUGGUCAUAAAUGACACUGAGAUUCUUCAAGCCCAUUUGCAUUAACAUUCACGGUUUUGAUAAUACAGGUUUCUUCUCAAGAAAGCACAGAAACUUAAGAGAGGAAGGAGAUGCUCUCGACUGCUUUUUCAAGAGUCGCUUCUCAUCUGGUGAGGAAAACAGAUACUGUGACUGGCCCAGAAACAGAACCGAGGAGAGUGUCUGGUGGAGAGGAAAAGGAAGCCCCAUUAGUUUGGACUGUAAAGGAAACAGACCCACUACACAGAGGGAGUACCAGGAACAGGUGGUUUUCACGCACAGCUCUUAGCACAUGCUCUGUCCUCUCCACAGCUCCUUUGCCAAGGAGAUAGUAGACACAGGCCACAAGCAAACAUCCCGGAAUCCAUCUACGCUUCCCCAUUUUCUCUCAAAAAAGUAUCCCACUGGCAAUGGAUACAGAAUAAGAAGAUCUUUAAAAAAAAUUUUGUUUUUAGUUAGCUGUCCUUUUGUGGGUAUGUGCCCUUGUGUGUAGGGGGCCGGUGGAGGCCCUGAGAGAGCAUCCAGUCCCCUGGAGCUGGAGUUACAUGGGACGCUGAGAACUGAACUCGGGGCCUCUGUUGGAGCAGCCAGCAUUGAAAACCAUCUCUUCAGCCCCAGGCUCUGCUUUAAAUCAAAACUGAUUACAUCAUCUCUUCUAGACUGAAGGUGUAGUCACCUCUCUCCAGAAUCCUUAAAACGUAUCUUACUAAAAAAGAGAGCCUGACAUGAAAUCAUUGGAAACGAAUUUUGCAAAAAUAUCCAGGAAAAACUAUCUCCUUUCUCCUUAUAACAGAGACACCCAAAUGUCAACAU